GAGCACCAUAACUCUUACGACCCCAGCAAAACCUGCCCGCAGUCUCAAGACUCAAGGAACCUAUACUACCACAUUAUGUACUCUAUAUGAGUACUCUAUGAAUAUACAUUCUAAGAGCGUCAGCGCUAGGUUCCAAAGGAAAGAAGACUAACCCAACUACAAAACGCUGCUAUCCUUAGUAAUUGCAUUGAAGUUUACUGUCCGAUCUCCAUGAAAUUAUCAGACCUAAACUAAUCCUACAUCAUUCGUUUGAUACGUCUCGUGCACUUAAAUACAGGCUGAAAACAGGAAGCUGUUGAUGAAAAAGAACUUGAUUUACAGGUGAAAUUUUUCAAAAGUGUU